rnacentral:rRNA from 1 species
UACGUAGGGUGCAAGCGUUGUCCGGAAUUAUUGGGCGUAAAGAGCUCGUAGGCGGUCUGUCGCGUCGAAUGUGAAAACCCGGGGCUCAACCCCGGGCCUGCAUUCGAUACGGGCAGACUAGAGUUCGGUAGGGGAGUCUGGAAUUCCUGGUGUAGCGGUGAAAUGCGCAGAUAUCAGGAGGAACACCGGUGGCGAAGGCGGGUCUCUGGGCCGAAACUGACGCUGAGGCGCGAAAGCGUGGGGAGCAAACAGG